rnacentral:rRNA from 1 species
AUUGAACGCUGGCGGCAGGCCUAACACAUGCAAGUCGAGCGGGGUUUUCGGACCUAGCGGCGGACGGGUGAGUAAUGCGUAGGAAGCUACCCGAUAGAGGGGGAUACCAGUUGGAAACGACUGUUAAUACCGCAUAAUGUCUACGGACCAAAGUGUGGGACCUUCGGGCCACAUGCUAUCGGAUGCGCCUACGUGGGAUUAGCUAGUUGGUUAGGUAAUGGCUCACCAAGGCGACGAUCCCUAGCUGGUUUGAGAGGAUGAUCAGCCACACUGGAACUGAGACACUGUCCAGACUCCUACGGGAGGCAGCAGUGGGGAAUAUUGGACAAUGGGCGCAAGCCUGAUCCAGCCAUGCCGCGUGUGUGAAGAAGGCCUUCGGGUUGUAAAGCACUUUCAGUAGGGAGGAAGCGUUGUGUGUUAAUAGUACACAGCGUUGACGUUACCUACAGAAGAAGCACCGGCUAACUCUGUGCCAGCAGCCGCCGUAAUAC